rnacentral:tRNA from 1 species
GCUCGGCCUGGCCGACGCCAAGGCUUACGCACUGGAGCUGCGCGAUCAGGCGCUGCACGCGCUGCGACCGUUUGACGCGGCUGCCGAGCC